rnacentral:rRNA from 1 species
UACGUAGGGUGCGAGCGUUGUCCGGAUUUAUUGGGCGUAAAGAGCGUGUAGGCGGCCAGAUAGGUCAGCUGUGAAAACUCGAGGCUCAACCUCGAGACGUCGGUUGAAACCAUCUGGCUAGAGUCCGGAAGAGGAGAGUGGAAUUCCCGGUGUAGCGAUGAAAUGCGCAGAUAUCGGGAAGAACAUCAGUGGCGAAGGCGGUCUGCUGGGCCGUUGCUGACGCUGAGGCGCGACAGCGUGGGGAGCAAACAGG